rnacentral:rRNA from 1 species
AUUGAACGCUGGCGGCAGGCCUAACACAUGCAAGUCGAACGAGUGGCGGACGGGUGAGUAAUGUCUGGGAAACUGCCCGAUAGAGGGGGAUAACUACUGGAAACGGUAGCUAAUACCGCAUACUAUCGGAUGUGCCCAGAUGGGAUUAGCUAGUAGGUGGGGUAACGGCUCACCUAGGCGACGAUCCCUAGCUGGUCUGAGAGGAUGACCAGCCACAAUGGAACUGAGAAACGGUCCAGACUCCUACGGGAGGCAGCAGUGGGGAAUUUUGGACAAUGGGGGAAACCCUGAUGCAGCCAUGCCGCGUGUAUGAAGAAGGCCUUCGGGUUGUAAAGUACUUUUAGCGGGGAGGCGUUACCCGCAGAAGAAGCACCGGCUAACUACGUGCCAGCAGCCGCGGUAAUUC